rnacentral:rRNA from 1 species
GUCGAACGGUAACAGGAAGCAGCUUGCUGCUUCGCUGACGAGUGGCGGACGGGUGAGUAAUGUCUGGGAAACUGCCUGAUGGAGGGGGAUAACUACUGGAAACGGUAGCUAAUACCGCAUAACGUCGCAAGACCAAAGAGGGGGACCUUCGGGCCUCUUGCCAUCGGAUGUGCCCAGAUGGGAUUAGCUAGUAGGUGGGGUAACGGCUCACCUAGGCGACGAUCCCUAGCUGGUCUGAGAGGAUGACCAGCCACACUGGAACUGAGACACGGUCCAGACUCCUACGGGAGGCAGCAGUGGGGAAUAUUGCACAAUGGGCGCAAGCCUGAUGCAGCCAUGCCGCGUGUAUGAAGAAGGCCUUCGGGUUGUAAAGUACUUUCAGCGGGGAGGAAGGGAGUAAAGUUAAUACCUUUGCUCAUUGACGUUACCCGCAGAAGAAGCACCGGCUAACUCCGUGCCAGCAGCCGCGGUAAUACGGAGGGUGCAAGCGUUAAUCGGAAUUACUGGGCGUAAAGCGCACGCAGGCGGUUUGUUAAGUCAGAUGUGAAAUCCCCGGGCUCAACCUGGGAACUGCAUCUGAUACUGGCAAGCUUGAGUCUCGUAGAGGGGGGUAGAAUUCCAGGUGUAGCGGUGAAAUGCGUAGAGAUCUGGAGGAAUACCGUGGCGAAG